GUGGGUGAUCUGCCUGCACUUCGGGAUAAGCCUGGGAAACUGGGUCUAAUACCGGAUAGGAGCCAUUUUUAGUGUGAUGGUUGGAAAGUUUUUUCGGUGCAGGAUGAGCUCGCGGCCUAUCAGCUUGUUGGUGGGGUAAUGGCCUACCAAGGCGGCGACGGGUAGCCGGCCUGAGAGGGUGGACGGCCACAUUGGGACUGAGAUACGGCCCAG
rnacentral:rRNA from 1 species